UGCCCGUGAUGAUAAAAUAAAAGGCUCGUUUCUCAAAACAUUCGCAGUAGCCGCCCAAGAGCUUUCGCCUUUGCCGGGCUUGAGAGCUAAUGCUGUCAAAUAUCUUCUUUGGAUGUCUGAGGCA